UCCCCGAUAGCUCAGCUGGUAGAGCGACGGACUGUUAAUCCGCAGGUCAGAGGUUCGAGCCCUCUUCGGGGAGCCA
rnacentral:tRNA from 1 species